GUAUGAAUGGCCACACGAGGGCUUUACUGUCUCUUACUUCCAAUCCGUGAAAUUGACCUUCCCGUGAAGAGGCGGGAAUACAACAAUAAGACGAGAAGACCCUAUGGAGCUUUAAUUAACCGACCCAAAGAGACCCAUUAAUUCAACCGACAGGAACAACAAACCUCUGCUAUGGGCCGACAAUUUAGGUUGGGGUGACCUCGGAGAACAGAACAACCUCCGAGUGAUUUAAAUCAAGACUAACCAGUCGAAAGUAUUACAUCACUUAUUGAUCCAAAAGUUUGAUCAACGGAACAAGUUACCCUAGGGAUAACAGCGCAAUCCUAUUUCAGAGUCCAUAUCGACAAUAGGGUUUACGACCUCGAUGUUGGA
rnacentral:rRNA from 1 species